AGCAUGUGGUGGAUGCCUUGGCGAUGAUAGGCGACGAAGGACGUGAUAGCCUGCGAUAAGCUUCGGGGAGCUGGCAAAUUAGCUUUGAUCCGGAGAUUUCCGAAUGGGGAAACCCACCGAAAGGUAUCGCAUACUGAAUACAUAGGUAUGCGAGGCGAACCGGGUGAACUGAAACAUCUCAGUAGCUCGAGGAAAAGACAUCAACCGAGAUUCCGAAAGUAGUGGCGAGCGAAAUCGGAAGAGCCUGUUAGUGAUAGCACGACUCUUAACGGAACAGUCUGGAAAGGCUGGCCAUAGCAGGUGAUAGCCCUGUACGUGAAAAGAGACGUGUGGUACUAAGCUAACGAAAAGUAGGGCGGGACACGAGAAAUCCUGUCUGAAUAUGGGGGACCAUCCUCCAAGGCUAAAUACUCAUCAUCGACCGAUAGUGAACUAGUACCGUACGAGGGGAAAAAGGCGAAAAAGUAA
rnacentral:rRNA from 1 species